AGAGUUUGAUCCUGGCUCAGAUUGAACGCUGGCGGCAUGCCUUACACAUGCAAGUCGAACGGCAGCAUGAUCUAGCUUGCUAGAUUGAUGGCGAGUGGCGAACGGGUGAGUAAUACAUCGGAACGUGCCCUGUAGUGGGGGAUAACUAGUCGAAAGAUUAGCUAAUACCGCAUACGACCUGAGGGUGAAAGUGGGGGACCGCAAGGCCUCAUGCUAUAGGAGCGGCCGAUGUCUGAUUAGCUAGUUGGUGAGGUAAAGGCUCACCAAGGCGACGAUCAGUAGCUGGUCUGAGAGGACGAUCAGCCACACUGGGACUGAGACACGGCCCAGACUCCUACGGGAGGCAGCAGUGGGGAAUUUUGGACAAUGGGGGCAACCCUGAUCCAGCAAUGCCGCGUGUGUGAAGAAGGCCUUCGGGUUGUAAAGCACUUUUGUCCGGAAAGAAAUCGCACUUACUAAUAUUAGGUGUGGAUGACGGUACCGGAAGAAUAAGGACCGGCUAACUACGUGCCAGCAGCCGCGGUAAUACGUAGGGUCCAAGCGUUAAUCGGAAUUACUGGGCGUAAAGCGUGCGCAGGCGGUUGUGCAAGACCGAUGUGAAAUCCCCGGGCUUAACCUGGGAAUUGCAUUGGUGACUGCACGGCUAGAGUGUGUCAGAGGGGGGUAGAAUUCCACGUGUAGCAGUGAAAUGCGUAGAGAUGUGGAGGAAUACCGAUGGCGAAGGCAGCCCCCUGGGAUAACACUGACGCUCAUGCACGAAAGCGUGGGGAGCAAACAGGAUUAGAUACCCUGGUAGUCCACGCCCUAAACGAUGUCAACUAGUUGUUGGGGAUUCAUUUCCUUAGUAACGUAGCUAACGCGUGAAGUUGACCGCCUGGGGAGUACGGUCGCAAGAUUAAAACUCAAAGGAAUUGACGG
rnacentral:rRNA from 1 species